rnacentral:lncRNA from 1 species
UAUAAUCUGAAAUUUACUUAUUUGGCAAUCAUUUUCUCCUUUUUCUCUCUAUUUUCUUCAACUUCUCGUCAUUUUUAACAGGAGUCCUCUCCUCUCUCUCCCCCCCUCUCAUCUCAUUUCUCUCUUCUUAUCCUUCUCAUUCUUCUCUAAACUUACCUUUAAAUCCCAACUUCAUAUGUGUUCGCCAUUUCCGAAAAUGGUCAUAGCUAUUUCAUUGUCAACCAACACAUCCCAAGUACUGCUCAUGAAAUCAUCGUCCCAUAUGCUAAUAAUCCUCAGAAAUCAACGAUGAUUAUCUUCGCUCUCGUUUGAAGAGCGCCCGCCGCCACCGGGGCAAUAAUAGGAGGAAGAUGAAGAUUAUGAGGGGUCGGGGUUGAUGAAUUUUCAUCGGGGGAGCAAAAUUUAUGGUAUUCAAUCGGAUUUCGUCGAUGUAGUUAGUGGUGGCAUCAAAUGGGCUCUCGAUUUUGUGUUCCACUUACUGGCUGACAAUGGUUGAGUGGGCUCCACAUUAUCCUUCAUUAUCUUUGGUUCCACCGCCGUUUCCGGUGGUGGUUCGUCGGCGUUGGUGGAUGGUGGCAGAGGCUUGUGGGUAAGAUAAUCGAUUCUCAAUUUCCUUAGCUGCUUCUUGACGAGGAGCAAUCUUCUUCUUCACAGUGAAUACUGUCAAAUUUGAGGUGAAUUUGAAGGCUUUGUUUUGUGCACAUGUGGAGAGAGAA